AUACCCGGGUAGUCCCAGCUGUAAACGAUGCAGGCUAGGUGUUUGGACGGCCACGUGCCGUUCUAGUGCCGCAGGGAAGCUGUUAAGCCUGCCGCCUGGGGAGUACGAUCGCAAGAUUGAAACUUAAAGGAAUUGGCGGGGGAGCACCACAAGGGGUGAAGCUUGCGGUUUAAUUGGAGUCAACGCCGGAAAUCUCACCGGGAGCGACAGCAGUAUGAAGGCCAGAUUAAAGGUCUUGCCAGACGAGCUGAGAGGAGGUGCAUGGCCGUCGCCAGUUCGUGCCGUGAGGUGUCCUGUUAAGUCAGGCAACGAUCGAGACCCGCGUCCUCUGUUGCAACUAGCUUUGAGCUGGGCACACUGAGGAGACCGCCACUGAUAAAGUGGAGGAAGGAGCGGGCCACGGCAGGUCAGUAUGCCCCGAAUCUCCCGGGCCACACGCGAGCUGCAAUGGCAGGUACAAUGGGUUCCGACCUCAAAAGGGGAAGGCAAUCUCGAAAGCCUGCCGUAGUUGGGAUCGAGGGCUGCAACCCGCCCUCGUGAACAUGGAAUCCCUAGUAAUCGC
rnacentral:rRNA from 1 species